ACGGGCAGCGCGACAAGGGUGGCGCAUAGGAGUUGGAUACCGGCGUGUGCUCCGACAGCGUGUGCUCCAAUAGCGGGUGGAGGGACUGCGGCGUGGUGGUGGGGAGCAACGGGUCCGUGUCCAUGGCCGGACCACCCUACCAUUAAACUUGAAUCGUUGUGUUGGAACAUGCCACCCCUCCUUCCUGAGUCGUCGUGGGUCUCGCGAUGCUGGAGGUAGCCGCUGUCGUGGCCAUGGACGGCAACACGGAGUCCCACAACACGCCGGCCGCGUCCGGAGUCCCACAACCCCGGAGCCCAUGGAGAGCUCGACUACAACUCGGCUAGCGCAACGGUGAGUUAUAGGGCCAGCUAUGGGAGCCGAUGUUGGGGGAGGAGGGAGGCCUUUGCUGGGUUUGCAUUAGUGUGGUGCGGGUUGAGCUGGAGCUGGCUCCUAGCGAUGCUGGUUCAGGCUGAUGUGUGCGUGCAUCGCCAAACAAAGAAGCAGGCAUCCACUAGGAAAAAUAUUCAUCGGAGUUCUCAAGUUGAAGUCAAAUUGAUCAGCUACGUUUCAAAGGUAACAUCUAGAUUAUACCUAAGAUGAUAGUUUGAUGUCUAGAUUGGAAGAAAUCGCACACACUAGAUGCAGUUGGUAUUUUGGAAAUAAAGGCAACAGUUUACAUGAGAUCUGGGACUAAUUGGCUCAUAAUUUAUACAUGUCCCCAACUUGAAUAUUGCAGUCUUUGUCACAAGCUUUGCAAUGGUAUUGAUUUUGGUCAAUCUGGAUUGAAAUCUUUUAAAAGUAGUGCAACCAAGUGCAGAACUUUGUUUCGCAUCUAUAUAUCUAUUUCGAGAUAAAAAUGAAUGUGUGGCUCAUUAUAUUUCCAGUAUGAGAUGUGGCUCGACGGUAUUUACAUCGCCAAUGCCAAGCGAACCGAGUUCACUAAAAGCAACAAGCAGGGCAGGGUCAAAGUCAUUAUGUUCACCAUGAUGCAGAAUGCCAUCACAUUCAGACCCAAAGAUCUGGAAACUAUGAACUUGAUUAAAAGGGCAGGGUCAAAGUCAAGACCCGGGUUAGUGGCGAUGAUGAUGGUGGCCUGCAGGCUAUGGGUCUAGCAGCGUUGCAGGCAGUAGUGUGCAGCGUUUUAUGAUAGGGCGUGUGGCCAGUGAUGGAGGGCUCGUGGCGGCUGCAGAUGGUGGAGUACUGUACUUGUGGUGGGCGCCCAUUCACAAGAUCUACAACAUCAUCUUUGGGUCAGUUCUCCAUGAAGACCAUCCUGCGAUAAAAGGUUACGUCUUCCUGUUAUUUGGGUGACAGACGCCGAGCCUGUCGGCCUAUGCACAUCGCUCCUGAUGUGGUAAUGUGGCGGUCGUUGUUGUUUGCCUGCAGAGCCUGUGGAGAGAUGGGACUUGCAGAGUAUAUGUAGCAGAAAGGAUCCAAGUAUUGGAGCCAAACAACUGUCUAUGCUACCAGAUCAAGGUGGGUUGAUGCAAAUAAAGUGAGGACAGGAAUAUACGGUAGCAAAAAGACCAAGCAGCCUGGUUGCUCUUUCAUUGAACUGGAUGGAUGCGUGCAUGAGUUCUUUGCAGGGAACGAGUCACAUUUUGAAACUGAAGCUAUAUACAACCCUGUUUUAGGGAUUAUAAUGAACUGUUAGUAGCAGAGUCCUUCCUAAUGUGAAAGCUAAUACAUUUCUAUGGUAACCAUUCAUCAGUACCUAUGAUUCAAUAAUCUUAUUUUUAUGAAAUGAUGAAACCCGAAGUAUUUCUAUAUAUGUCAUGAGCCACUUAAUGUGCAACUGAGUGCACACUGUUAUCCAAAUUUUAUUGGUCCGUCUAAGAUGUUUCCUUCUGGUAUUGCAAUUUAUGCGAGGUAAUACCCACAGUUUUUGCUGUGAUGUUACCAUGUCAGAAAAUUACCUGUCCACUGCAUCACUUAUUUGUUCUUCUCUCAUGUUCUUGUCUAACCGUUAUAUUUUUACUCCGAACUUACUAACCCAGCUUUGGUUUCUCUGGCUUAAACUAAUCUGGGAGCAGGGUAUCAUGUGCCCACUCACCUGUUGGUGCAGCUGGUGGAUACAGAGAGAUCAACGAUGAGAAGACCCUCGCCGUUCUUUCGAUUGCAGCCAGUUGCGGGAUGUGAUGGUGGAGUUGUUCUGCAACCGCCCAGGGGCCAUGGACGAUGGAGAACUUCCUAACGCAGUAUGCGAGCGGGGAUGAUGGAGAACUUCCUGGCGCAGUGUGCGCGCGAGUGGGUUUCAGGACAGUUCAUGGUACAAGGUCAAGCUCAUCUUGGUGGGGCACGAUCGCCAUGGCUCAACUUUGAGCCCAGCAUCAAGUUGGAAAGCUUUAUCUGAGAUGUGAGUUGUGUCCUUUUAUGCCUUAGUUUGGUUUCUGAAUUUUCGGGCGACGCUUAUCAUUUAAGAUCAACACAACAUUUUGCUUCAAAGAAAGCUGCUGCAUAGGGACAUUUGAUGUGGUGGAUUUCAGAGAAUCAUUCUAGGGUAUUGCAUUCCAUUCAGAAAUUUUGACAUUUGGACAGUGUGUACAAUUGAAAGGAAGAGCUGGAUAUGAGUUAUGUAGGUUCAGCGUUUCAAGUUUUUGACAAUUUUUUAUGUUUAUCCUGGGAGAAAAGUGGAGCAGCUGUGUUAAGAGGUUGAUUAAUUAAAGGGAAUCAUCGAGAAGCUGUUACUAUCUUUCAUGCAUAAAAAUAAUUUUGGAGGAUGCAUGGAUUGGAGAGAUUAUGA